rnacentral:misc_RNA from 1 species
AACAUCCUCUUCAAACAAAGAAGGCACAGGGGCUGCUGCUGCUUUUUGACUAGAAUCAGAUCCUGAUGAACUUUUGUUAGAAUCAGGAGAUGUAGAUACGCUAUUUGGAAUAGACUCUCCACCACUGCAAGAAGUGGGACUAAUCGAGAGAGUUACUGCCUCCCCUGAAUUUGCAAGAUUUUUGCUACAGUCACCAUUAUCUUCAAAGGGAUUCACGGAUCCACCAACUGAGCCAUUCCCCCAUGCAACCCAUUCAGGUAUAGGCCUGUCUCCAAACGGGUCAUCACUGUCUGACUUCUCAAAAUGGAAGAAAUCCCCAUCACCUGACACACCUGCUUUAUCUUUUUGUUGAUUGAAGUCUCCACCAUUAGCAGAAUCGGCUCCAUUAAAGGCAUCUGAACUAGAACUGGGCAUUACAUCUGAUUUUCUCUCAGCCAAUUCCUCCUGCUCUCCAACUACCACCUCAUCAUCA